GCGGCCGCUCCUCCUCCUCCCGCAGCCGCCAUCCAGCGAGCCGCGGCGGCGGUACCGAGCGGUUAUAAGUGUCAUUCAGACACCAGUCUUCUGAGAUGGGAAAGACCAAUGAUGAAAAGACCAGUGAUGUUUCUUCACUCCUUUCAGAAGAUAUUAACUCCAAGUUCUUUCCUGUCUUGCAAGAGUUUGGGCGUUGCAGAGAACAACAGUAUGUUGAACUUUGAAGGAUGAAGAACAUUUCCUAUUGCCUGUAUUCUUGGGGAUGCGUUGCUUGGAACCACCACAGCUGUAUCAGACCUCCAUUGGAAGAUACUGCUGAAAUACUGAAGUUUGAGCAGAGUGGAUUUGAACCAAACACUGGGAAAGGAUCAGAAUGAGAGACUUAGCAGUGAUUCUGUUUCUCUUAUUGCUGGAGGUCUUGUCCAACUGAGUAGACUUUGUAUAGAGGUCUUAUGAGAAGGGGCUAGUAUACACGAGUCCUUUCUAGACCUACAUAUAACUAGUGCAUUAUUAAGAAGAUGCUCAUAUUGGAGACAGACUAAGCCUUCAGUUCUUUAAAACAGUUUCACAGUGAAAUAGGCACUAUCAGGGAACUGCAUCAUUUCCUUCCCCUCCCCUAAAUACCUGUCUUCAGUAUAGACGUUCAGGAUUCAUCUUCCUUUUAAAUCUUUUGUAGUUUCACUCUAUUGACAUGUGAAAACAGUUAAAUCCAGGAGGCCUUCGUUGUGGUGGGAUAAUUCCUCUGAAAACUGUGUUGUCUGUAAGAAGAACUUGGCCUUUGUCAUUUCUAUGUGCAGUUCUUUCUUCCCUCUGUGUCCUGCUAAUACACAAAUGAUCUUAUGAUCAGUGUCUCAGGCUGGGAGGCAGAUACAGUUUUAAGUGUAUGUCCAUAGAAUAGGGUUAAAAUUACUAAAGUUA
rnacentral:lncRNA from 1 species